rnacentral:lncRNA from 1 species
GUUCUGACCCCUGUAAUGGUUCCACCCAGUGCUGAUGUGGUGCUACCAUGUUCCUCUGGACCUACUGCAGAGGAAGUCAAGAAUGUAACGGUCAGCUGGCAGCUGGUCACAGGGAAGCAGAGGACUGUCAUCCUUCGGUAUCCUCCGUCAGCACCCGUGGGUCCUACUGAACAGGUCUUGCAGGGACGAGUCAGAUUCAGUGGAAAUCCCCAGGAGGGCGAAGUAGCCCUAAAUGUGUCAAAAGUGACAGACACUGAUACCAACUGGUAUCGCUGUGACCUGCACACGCAGAAAACUCAAAGUUGCUAUGAAGUGAGGCUUGAAGUCAGAGAAUCUCAGUCAGCAGCCAUCACAACAGCCGGCCCGGUGACAGUUAUUACGGAUCUCACAAAUAUAACACCAACGACAACUAUCAGAGACAAUGAAGAGGACAGUGGGAACCGAGGCAGUGGGGCUAUGGUUGUCACACUGGUCUUCCUGUUGUCCACGUGUCUCAUUGCAGUGGCAGCGGCGCUGAUAAUCUGCUUCCUGCGAUACAAAGGGGCAAGAGAAUCAAGGAAUUUUGAUAUGAUUAAUCUUCAGGAGAGUCCUUAUUCCAACGUAGACAUUCGAAACUCAGCUUUGGGUUGUAAACAUCAUGAAAACACACAUACAGCUCCAGCCAACUUGAACCUUUUCUCAGGAGCUACGAGGGAUCAGCUUUAGCUGCCAUACCACCAAACAUAAGAUACAUAGCAGAAGGGACAUUGAUACGGAUUUCUGAACACGUUUUAUACCUUGGCUUACUCCGAAGAUAGGUGUUGUGGUAGGUUGCUACAAUUUAAAACUAAUACACUGUAACACUGCACCUAAGCAUUUUGCAAUUAACAGUUAAAAAUACAGGAUUGUUUUUAGGACUGCUGUAUAAUUUUUACUUUUCUUUCUUACAGAGCAGCACACUUGAAAACAGACACAAGAUAGCCUAUAUGUACAAAGUCACCCAGAAGCAUCAACUUCUUCUACACAGAAACAGUCAUUCUAGACUGUGAAUAUAGCUAAUUAAAGAUCUUAUUAAGUUUUCUUCUUUGUUGUUGUAGCUUUUUUACAUUAUGAAACCCAUAUGGAAAUAAAGAUGCACUCUUUUUG